rnacentral:rRNA from 1 species
GACGAACGCUGGCGGCGUGCCUAAUACAUGCAAGUUGAGCGCUGAAGGUUGGUACUUGUACCUACUGGAUGAUCAGCUUACGGUUGAUUAACGCGUGGGGAAUCUGCCUUUGAGCGGGGGACACCAUUUGGAAACGAAUGCUAAUACCCCAUAAAAACUUUAAACACAAGUUUUAAGUUUGAAAGAUGAAAUUGCCUCACUCAAAGAUGAUCCCGCUUUGUAUUAGCUAGUUGGUGCGGUACAGGCUCACCAAGGCGAUGAUACAUAGCCGACCUGAGAGGGUGAGCGGCAACAUUGGGACUGAGACAGGGACCAAACACCUACGGGAGGCAGCAGUAGGGAAUCUUCGGCAAUGGACGAAAGUGGGAACGAGCAACGCAGCGUGAGUGAAGAAGGUUUUCGGAUCGUAAAACUCUGUUGGUAGAGAAGAACGUUGGAGAGAGUGGAAAGCUCAUAAAGUGACGGUAACUACCCAGAAAGGGACGGCUAAAUACGUG